rnacentral:rRNA from 1 species
AUUGAACGCUGGCGGCAUGCUUUACACAUGCAAGUCGGACGAGUGGCGAACGGGUGAGUAACGCAUCGGAACGUACCUAGUAAUGGGGGAUAACUGUCCGAAAGGACAGCUAAUACCGCAUAUUAUCCGAGCGGCCGAUGUCUGAUUAGCUGGUUGGCGGGGUAAAGGCCCACCAAGGCGAAGAUCAGUAGCGGGUUUGAGAGGAUGAUCGGCCACACUGGGACGGAUGGACGGCCCAAACGCCUACUGGAGGCAGCAGUGGGGGAUGUUGUACAGUGGGCGCAAGCCUUAUCCAGCCAUGCCGCGUGUCUUAAGAAGGCCUUCGGGUUGUAAAGGACUUUUGUCAGGGAAGCGGUACCUGAAGAAUAAGCACCGGCUAACUACGUGCCAGCAGCCGCGGUAAUAC